rnacentral:rRNA from 1 species
GCAAGUCGAACGGGAGCUUCGGCUCCAGUGGCGGACGGGUGAGUAACGCGUGAGAAUCUACCUUCAGGAUGGGGACAACCGUUGGAAACGACGGCUAAUUCCCAAUGUGCCGAGAGGUAAAAGGUUUCGACCGCCUGAAGAGGAGCUCGCGUCCGAUUAGUUUGUUGGUGGGGUAAGAGCUCACCAAGGCAGCGAUCGGUAGCUGGUCUGAGAGGAUGAGCAGCCACACUGGGACUGAGACACGGCCCAGACUCCUACGGGAGGCAGCAGUGGGGAAUUUUCCGCAAUGGGCGAAAGCCUGACGGAGCAACGCCGCGUGUGGGAAGAAGGCUCUUGGGCUGUCAACCACUUUUCUCAGGGAAGAAGUUCUGACGGUACCUGAGGAAUCAGCCUCGGCUAACUCCGUGCCAGCAGCCGCGGUAAUACGGAGGAGGCAAGCGUUAUCCGGAAUUAUUGGGCGUAAAGCGUCCGCAGGGGGCUCAUCAAGUCUGCUGUUAAAGGUCGGAGCUUAACUCCGAUACAGCAGUGGAAACUGAUGGGCUAGAGGGCGACAGGGGUAGAGGGAAUUCCCAGUGUAGCGGUGAAAUGCGUAGAGAUUGGGAAGAACACCGGUGGCGAAAGCGCUCUACUGGGUCGCACCUGACCCUCANGGACGAAAGCUAGGGGAGCGAAAGGGAUUAGAUACCCCUGUAGUCUUAGCUGUAAACGAUGGAUACUAGGCCGUGGUUUGUAUCGACCCAAGC